rnacentral:misc_RNA from 1 species
CUUAUAUCACUGCACACCAUUUACAAUUUUCCAUCAAUUAGUCUAAAGAAUGAACAUAUCAGUUUCGAGAAUACAACAAAAAGCCUAGCCACAUCAAUACCCAUUUUCUAAACGAGAUCUACUAGUACUUGCAGGACACUGAAAUUGAUCUUCCGCUGCCCUAGAUCUUGAAUAACAUUAAAAGCGUACGAAAAGCUAGAACAUAAAAGCUUAAAGAUACAACAAAUCAAACGAGUAUAUUAUAAAGUCCCAGCAUUCUAUAAACAGAGAUACAUUCACAAAGCCCAUAUUUAGAAAAGUGAUCAUCUAUUCUUUACCGCCAAGCUUGACAGAGUAGGCGCUACCUUUUGAGAGGCUUAUAAAGGACAACAGUGACAAAUUUGGAUUGGAACCUAUGGGUAAGUCCCAAAGCAACUAGAGACUGAGAUGCCCGUCCUUUAUCUAAAAAAAGGUGGUUAAGCACAACGUGUUGAGGUUUUAAAGAAGCUUCAUUUGAAUUCUCCAUACCAAGGACAGUAAGACGCAGCUGUUGUGGAACAACUAAUGGCUCUCUUGCAAAAUCUUCCUCACUUGGAAAUGACUGACCAUAAGUGGAGCCUGGAGAUGGUGGAGCCUCAAAUUCAGCCACACUGUCCAGGUUUUCUGGCACAUAAUUAUUAACAUCAAGAAGAUUAUAAAAACGGCCCAUCCCAUCAGACACACAAGGAAGAUCUGGAUUAUAUCUCCAUUCCCCAUCUACAAUAAACUUAUAAUGGUAUAUGCCUGAUCGAAGGACCAGCAGAAUAGAAUGAUCGUUACCAGAUCUUUGCAUUCGCUUCCUUGACAUCCAGUUAUCCCAAGAUCCUUCAAGGAAUACUUCAUUACCACCAUAGUUCCAGGAGAUAAUGGUUGGGAUUCCUUGCUCAGGACGAUGAUCAACAACUCCACGAGAUUCAUUUCGCCACAUUUGAUUUAAAAAAGGCAGGCCAUCAGACCUCUGAAAGGGAGCUAUAGGAAUCUGAGAAGCGAACAAAAGAGGGGAAGCGGAGCGAGCAGGGCUGCGAGACGGUGUCGUAUUAAUGUAAUUAUUAUUGUCAUUAUCGUUGCUAGCAUUAGCCAUAGGAACCGAAGAAGCAACCGCAGCUGCACGAUACGAAUAGGCGGUUUGGAUGGGCGUUGAUUGACCGUUGGAUCCGUCUUCAUCUGGCCCUUUUACUCCCUCUUCUCUACCGUUUACAUUUCCCAUCUAUCCUCUCCUUCCCUAAUCUAACUUUCCGGUCACUAUAAUCUACACGACGGAAGCCCGUUUCUUACCUGUCUCGCGGUUGUCCAGAAUGGUGCAAGGUAUGAUGGGUUUAAGAUAUGGAUGCUUAUGAGAAACUUGCUACUAUGGGUUUAUUUUAUUUUUAUUAGUAUUAUUUUUUUCUGUUGGCGCCAACGAUAAAAAGAAGGCGGCUUCUUGGUGAAAGAAAAAUAUAUACGGAGAGUCAGAGAAUGUUCUGAUCCAAAA